AGUGAACGCUGGCGGUAGGCCUAACACAUGCAAGUCGAACGGCAGCACAGUAAGAGCUUGCUCUUACGGGUGGCGAGUGGCGGACGGGUGAGGAAUACAUCGGAAUCUACUUUUUCGUGGGGGAUAACGUAGGGAAACUUACGCUAAUACCGCAUACGACCUACGGGUGAAAGCAGGGGAUCUUCGGACCUUGCGCGAUUGAAUGAGCCGAUGUCGGAUUAGCUAGUUGGCGGGGUAAAGGCCCACCAAGGCGACGAUCCGUAGCUGGUCCGAGAGGAUGAUUAGCCACACUGGAACUGAGACACGGCCACGACUCCUACGGGAGGCAGCAGUGGGGAAUAUUGGACGAUGGGGGAAAGCCUGAUCCAGCCAUACCGCGUGGGUGAAGAAGGCCUUCGGGUUGUAAAGCCCUUUUGUUGGGAAAGAAAAGCAGCAGGUUAAUACCCCGCUGUUCUGACGGUACCCAAAGAAUAAGCACCGGCUAACUUCGUG
rnacentral:rRNA from 1 species